GGUAGAGUGGCUGAGUGGUCUAAGGCACUGGAUUUUGGCUCCAGUCUUUUCAGAGGCGUGAGUUCGAAUCCCACCCCUGCCA